CUAAAAAGAAUGGCGACCGGCGCACGGGUGAGUAACACGUAUCCAACCUGCCGAUAACUCGGGGAUAGCCUUUCGAAAGAAAGAUUAAUAUCCGAUGGUAUAUUUUCUCCGCAUGGUGAGAAUAUUAAAGAAUUUCGGUUAUCGAUGGGGAUGCGUUCCAUUAGUUUGUUGGCGGGGUAACGGCCCACCAAGACCACGAUGGAUAGGGGUUCUGAGAGGAAGGUCCCCCACAUUGGAACUGAGACACGGUCCAA
rnacentral:rRNA from 1 species